rnacentral:rRNA from 1 species
UACAGAGGUCCCGAGCGUUGUUCGGAUUCACUGGGCGUAAAGGGUGCGCAGGUGGCUUGGCAAGUUUGAUGUGAAAGCUCAGGGCUUAACCCUGAAAUGGCAUUGAAUACUGUUGAGCUGGAGGUUUGGAGGGGGGACUGGAAUUCUUGGUGUAGCAGUGAAAUGCGUAGAUAUCAAGAGGAACACCAGUGGCGAAGGCGAGUCCCUGGACAACACCUGACACUGAGGCACGAAAGCGUGGGGAGCAAAACGG